rnacentral:rRNA from 1 species
AUGAAGAAAGAAUAUGGAGGGCUUGGGAUCCCCAAUAUCAGAGAUCUUAACUUGUGUCUACUGGGCAGUUGGGUCAAGAGAUAUGCCCAAGAUGAGGGCAAAAUCUGGAAAACCAUUGUAGAUAACAAAUAUAUUAGGAAUGCUCCUAAUAUAUUUGCAUGUAGGCCACAAGCCUCUUCAAAUUUUUGGCAAGGGGUUAUGUGGGCUGCCAAAGCUCUUAAGUUUGGCUACAGAUGGGUAGUAGGAAAUGGUAGGAAGAUUAGAUUUUGGGAGGAUAUCUGGUUUGGAACCUCCCCACUCUCUGUUCAGUUUUGGCCUUUGUACUCCAUUUUUCACCAACAAUGUGUGACAGUCUCUGAAGUUUGGGAUGGGAGUAACAUUAAACUUACUUUUAGGAGGAUAUUUACCCCUGCCAUGAUGGAGGAGUGGUACUGCCUUGAACAAAUCAUAAAGGAGACUGUGCUCAAAACUGAUGUUGAUGCUAUGGUCUGGCAGUAUGAAUCCAAGGGGGUCUACUCUUCUAGUUCACUUUAUGCCAUAAUCAAUUUUAGAGGGGUGAAGCCUGUCUAUAUCCCCUCUGUGUGGUCCAUUGUUGUGCCUCCCAGAAUCCAGGUUUUCCUCUGGCUCCUGGCGCAUAAUAAACUUAUGACCAAGACAAUUUGCUUAAAAGGGGCAUAG